UGGGUUUUGUCUUGCAUUUAAUAUGUUGUGAUUGACUGGAUGGCAUUUUCACACUGUCUCUUUAACCUUUUGUUUCAUUUUUGCUGUGAAGUGGCCUCUACAGAUGUCAGGGAAAACACAGGGUUAUGAAGAAACCGUAGGAGGAACAAUGGCUCGAAAAAGGACACCCAUCCUCCUCUGCUCGACUUGAUAAGGUGCUAAGAGAAAUGACAUCCAAGAGGGACACAGACAAACAUUUGUCCAGAUGAGCUGCGGUAACAGGAUUGUGUUUGGACAGGAGCUUCUCUCCGCAGGGAACAAGCUUUAGGAACAAGCUGAAGAAAUUGAGAAAUAUAUGCCGGCGGUUAUUCUGAAAACGUCUGUUUUCCACUGGAAUGAAGCUUUUACAGCCCCCUCGGUUGGAGAGAGAGAGGGAUGGAAUGAGAAAGAGAGCGAGUGAAACAGUGAAUCAUGAGUGCAGCUUUGAACAACAAGGGGAAAUCCUCCUAUUGAGAAGGCAUGCGCUGUGGAAACAUGCAUCACUCAUAGAGGUAACGGAUCCGGGGGCCACACACAAACCAAAACUUUUAGCCAUUUAUCUGGAGACCGUCUUGAUGUUGUGUCAUGCAAAACGGU
rnacentral:lncRNA from 1 species